GUGCACGCCCGAGCCCUUAAUCCACUUUACACCUGCCGCACUUAAUGUAGGUCACCCUUGAAAAGGUGACCUAUGUCUUAUCAUCAACCCAUAGUAUGUCCAAUAGAAUGUAAAUCGAUAUCCUCGCCCUAAAAAAGCGUUGAUAAACUUAUACAACUUUCAACAACGGAUCUCUUGGCUCUCGCAUCGAUGAAGAACGCAGCGAAAUGCGAUAAGUAAUGUGAAUUGCAGAUUUUCAGUGAAUCAUCGAAUCUUUGAACGCACCUUGCGCUCCUUGGUAUUCCGAGGAGCAUGCCUGUUUGAGUAUCAUUAAAUUCUCAACUCCAAGGGUUUCACGACCUUUCGGAGAUUGGACUUGGAGGUGCCGGCCACAUACGGUCGGCUCCUCUCAAAUGCAUCAGCGGAAUUCAACCUUUGGGCUUCCAAACGUCAGUGUGAUAAUCAUGUUGUGCUGUCGUUUGACCCUCAGAGUCCGCUUAUAAUGGUCUUCGGACAAAUCAUCAUCAAAUUUGAUCUCAAAUCAGGUAGGACUACCCGCUGAACUUAAGCAUAUCAAU
rnacentral:rRNA from 1 species